rnacentral:rRNA from 1 species
AACGAACGCUGGCGGCGUGGAUUAGGCAUGCAAGUCGAACGCGAAAGGGUCUUUCGGGAUCCGAGUAGAGUGGCAAACGGGUGAGUAACGCGUGGGAAACCUGCCCUUAUGAUGGGGAUAACACUUCUAACGAGGUGCUAAUACCGAAUACGAUCAUAUGGUCGCAUGGCCAUAUGAUGAAAAGGCGGCCUCUGCUUGCAAGCUGUCGCAUAAGGAUGGUCCCGCGUCCCAUUAGCUAGUUGGUGAGGUAACGGCCCACCAAGGCGAUGAUGGGUAGCCGGCCUUAGCGGGUGUCCGGCCACACUGGGACUGAGAUACGGCCCAGACUCCUACGGGAGGCAG